UUUAAAUGUAAUUUAGUUUCUUAGUGAUUAAUAGUUAUGGUCUUUAAAAUUAAAAAUUUUGGCGGUAUUUUAGUCUUUUCAGAGGAACCUGUUCUAUAAUCGAUAAUCCACGAUUUAAUGUACUUAUUCUAAAUAAUUUACAUAUCGUCGUAGUUGAAUAUUUUAUAAGAAUAUAAUAUUCAAAAAUUUUAAUUAAAAAGUAAAUCAGAUCAAGGUGUAGUUUAUGAAUAAGAAGAAAUGGGUUACAAUAAAUUUAUUUAUUACAGUAAAUUUAAUUUAAAUUAGGUUUUAAGGUGGAUUUGAAAGUAAUAAAAUUUAAUUAUUUUUUAUGAUUUUAGCUCUAAAAUAUGC
rnacentral:rRNA from 1 species